GCUUCAAUUUUUUUGUCUCCGCGAGGGCUGGCUGAGUCCCUGUGGUCCUCUGGACACCGCCUCUAGCUUGGGCCCGGGGUCCACGCCCUGGCAUGACGGAUGGCUGCACGCCCUCGCCCGGCUUCCAGGGCCCGGUCUUCUGGGCUGUGUCCGGAUCCCAACCAGGCUGGCGUGUCAGCUUGUCUCAAGACUACAUGGCCACCAGUCUCUAUAGGGUCUCUGGUCCUGGCACACACGAGGUUGAUUUGAGCCCUCUGAGCAUCUCUGGCAAGUUUGGGGUUUGAUUCUAAGCAUGAACUCGCCUCUCCUACCGUCUUGCUGGGGCUUCUCAGCCCUUGGACUUGGGGUAUCUCCUCACAGCUGCUCCAGCGCCACGAAGCUGCUGCUCGAGCCUACUGUCUUGCUGGGGCUUCUCCGACCUUGAACAUGGGACAGACUGAAAACCACAAUCACAAAAAACUAACCAAUCUGAUCACAUGGAUCACAGCCUUGUCUACCUCAAAGAAACUAUGAGCCAUGCUGUGUAGGGCCACCCAAGACCGAUGGAUCAUGGUGGAGAGUUCUGACAAAACGUGGUCUACUGGAGAAGGGAAUGGCAAAACACUUCAGCAUUCUUGCCUUGAGAACCCCAUGAACAGUAUGAAAAGGCAAAACGAUAAGACACGGAAAGAUGAACUCCCCAGGCUGGUAGGUACCCAAUAUGCUACUGGAGAUCAGUGGAGAAAUAACUCCAAAAAGAAUGAAGGGAUGGAGCCAAAGCAAAAACAAUACCCAGUUGUGGAUGUGAUUGGUGAUGGAAGCAAGGUCUAAUGCUGUAAAGAGCAAUACUGCAUAGGAACCUGGAAUGUGAGGUCCAUGAAUCAAGGCAAAUUGGAAGUGGUCAAACAGGAGAUGGCAAGAGUUAAUGUCGACAUUUUAGCAAUCAGUGAAAUAAAAUGGACUGGAAUGGGUAAACUGAACUCAGAUGACCAUGAAUAUCUACUAUGGGCAAGAAUCCCUUAGAAGAAAUGGAGUAGCCCUCACAGUCAACCAAAGAGUCUGAAACGCAGUACUUGGAUGCAAUCUCAAAAAUGACAGAAUGAUCUCUGUUCAUUUCCAAGACACACCAUUCAAUAUCAUAGUAAUCCAAAUUUAUGCCCCGACCAGUAAUGCUGAAGAAGCUGACGCUGAACGGUUCUGUGAAGACCUACAAGACUUUCUAGAACUAACACCCCCAAAAGAUUGCCUUUUCAUUAUAGGAGACUGGAAUGCAAAAGUAAGAAGUCAAGAGAUACUCAAAAUUAACAGACAAGUUU
ensembl:lncRNA